UACGUAGGUGGCAAGCGUUAUCCGGAAUUAUUGGGCGUAAAGCGCGCGCAGGCGGUUUCUUAAGGCUGAUGUGAAAGCCCACGGCUCAACCGUGGAGGGUCAUUGGAAACUGGGGAACUUGAGUGCAGAAGAGAAAAGCGGAAUUCCACGUGUAGCGGUGAAAUGCGUAGAGAUGUGGAGGAACACCAGUGGCGAAGGCGGCUUUUUGGUCUGUAACUGACGCUGAGGCGCGAAAGCGUGGGGAGCGAUCCGG
rnacentral:rRNA from 1 species